GAAAGUAAUGAAGGGCGUACGGUGGAUGCCUAGGCUCUUACAGGCGAUGAAGGACGUGAUAAGCUGCGAAAAGCCGCGGUGAGGCGCAAAUGGCCCUUGACCCGCGGAUCUCCGAAUGGGACAACCCAAUAUCUUGAAGAGAUAUUAUCCCGCCGAUGCGGGAGGCGAACGCGGGGAACUGAAACAUCUUAGUACCCGCAGGAAAAGAAAAUAAAGAAUGAUUCCCCCAGUAGUGGCGAGCGACCGGGGAACAGCCCAAACCGACGUUGUCUCGGCAUCGUCGGGGUUGUAGGACCGCGCCAUCGCAAGAAAGGCCGUGAGUGGAAGCGACUGGAAAGCCGCGCCAUAGAGGGUGAGAGCCCCUUACACGAAGCAGCCAGAAGCGUAGCGGACUCCUGAGUAGCGCGGGACACGAGUAAUCCUGUGUGAAUCCGCCGGGCCCAUCCGGCAAGGCUAAAUACUCGUAAGAGACCGAUAGUGAACCAGUACCGUGAGGGAAAGGUGAAAAGUACCCCUUGCAGGGGAGUGAAAUAGUUCCUGAAACCGUACGCCUACAAGCGGUCGGAGCAUCUUGAAUGAUGUGACGGCGUGCCUUUUGCAUAAUGAACCUACGAGUUGCCGUCACCAGCGAGGUUAAGUGCGAUGACGCACCGAGCCGCAGCGGAAGCGAGUCUUAAAAGGGCGCGAUAGUUGGUGGAGGCAGACGCGAAACCGAGUGAUCUACACUUGUCCAGGAUGAAGUCCCGGUAACACGGGAUGGAGGUCCGCACCAAUAAGCGUUGAAAAGCUUCUGGAUGAGGUGAGUGUAGGAGUGAAAGGCCAAUCAAACUCGGAGAUAGCUCGUACUCCCCGAAAGGCAUUUAGGUGCCGCCUGUGGCGUUCCCGACGUGAGGUAGAGCGACUGAUAGGAUGCGAGGGCUUCACCGCCUAUCAAGUCCUGACAAACUCCGAAUGCACGUCGGCCAAGCCAUGGAGUAAGGGCAUGGGUGCUAAGGUCCGUGCCCGAGAGGAGAAGAAUCCAGACCACCGGCUAAGGUCCCGAAAUACUGGUUAAGUUAGACUAACGCAGUCCGGCCCCCAAGACAGCUAGGAUGUUGGCUUGGAAGCAGCCAUUCAUUCAAAGAGUGCGUAACAGCUCACUAGUCGAGGAGCUGGGCGUGGAUAAUAAUCGGGUAUAAAACCAGUUACCGAAGCCGUGGGAUGCUUAAGCAUCGGUAGGGGAGCAUUGCAUGCGGCUUAGAAGGCGGGGCGCGAGCCCCUCUGGAGCGCAUGGAAACGCAAAUGUAGGUAUAAGUAACGACAAGGGGGGUGGGAUGCCCCCCCGCCGAAAGACCAAGGUUUCCUGAACAACGCUAAUCGGUUCAGGGUCAGUCGGGUCCUAAGCAUAAGCCGUAUGGCGAAGGCGAUGGACGAAACGGUUAAUAUUCCGUUACUGUCUUGGUGUGUGACGCGGCGACGGAGUAGUGACACGGCCGCCUCCUGACGGAAAAGGGGGUUGAAGCGCAAAGGUGUUGAGGAAGGCAGGCAAAUCCACCUUCCGAGCCGAAGCGCGAUAGUACGCCGCGCCCUUUUGGGCAAGGCGAUAGUGCCGGUAAUCAGACUUCCAAGAAAACCCGCUAAACUUCAGCACCAAGUCACCCGUACUCCAAACGGACACACGUGGUCGGGUAGAAUAUACUAAGGCGCUUGGGAGAUUCACGGUUAAGGAACUAGGCAAAUUGACCCCGUACCUUCGGAAUAAGGGGUCCUCGCUUUUGCGAGGCGCAGAGAAUAGGUCCAGGCAACUGUUUAACAAAAACACAGGGCUGUGCAAAUUUGAAAGAAGAAGUAUACAGCCUGACACCUGCCCGGUGCCGGAAGGUUAAGAGGAGAGCUCAUCAGCGAUGAGAAGGUUUGAAUUGAAGCCCCGGUAAACGGCGGCCGUAACUAUAACGGUCCUAAGGUAGCGAAAUUCCUUGUCGGGUAAGUUC
rnacentral:rRNA from 1 species